rnacentral:lncRNA from 1 species
GAACCAAAGGUCUCCCUCUCUUCUUCCUCAAACCCAAGAUUUCCCUCAAAAUUCCUCUCCCACCGACUCUCACACUCCAAAUCGCCCACUUAGGAACCAAGUUCUUCUCCUUCUCCUUCUUCAUUUGGAGCGAUUCGAGCUUACCCUAGACUCUACCCGUCUUCUCCAAAUCGGCACAUCACUUCUCCAAAAUCUUUAUCUUUCCACUA